rnacentral:lncRNA from 1 species
AAUUGGAGGAGGUGUGAGAAACUCAUAGACCCAAUAAAGUGAUUAAAGGCUUCGUUCUAUGAAACCCACAGAGCUGCCCCACAGUUCAGUUCAGUAGUGGCUCAUAGUUAAACAAAACUCUUGAUUCUGUCUUCAAAUAUACAGACCUGUGACUUAUCCUGUAUGAGGCCAUGAUGUUUAAUUUGUCUUUAAUUUGAAUUAAUUAAUGCAGCGACUCGUUCCAGUUCUGCAACUAAUGAUUAUGUUCUAGACUUAAUGAUUCUGUUUAUUUUGCUACAGUAUGAACUAAUUCAGUCUGUGUUGUUGUCUAUACACUCAGUUCAUUGGGAGUUCAUUAUGUAAAACUAACAGAGUCUAAUAAACAGUCCUGCUGCCCAUUGGUAUUCACAAUUUAUCUUAUCAUGGUGAUUAUUUCUUGAAUCAGAUGUUUUUAGGACUGGAUAUUACUUAGCCUAGUUCCAGUUGGAUGGGACACAGGCCAGUGCUGGACCAUUGGCUGUUCAAUGUGAUGGUGUACCAGCCUCUUGGUUGUUUGAACCGAUGGAGCCACGUGGAGGAGCACUGGCGGCCUCACCCAGAUCUUCUGCUUCUUAGCUGUGGAGCCUUCGCAGUAGAGCCAAUACAGAUGGGAUAUCCAGCCUCACGAGUCUGCUUGGAUGAUUAUAUGUGGUGCCAGGGCAGAAGGUGUCUGCCAAGAAAGGAGCCUGCUUUUUCUCACUAUAUGAGAAACCAACAUGGAUGGAUACAGCAGCCUAGGCACCAGGACAUUCUUUCUGAAAGUAUCUUCAAGCUCUGGUGCAGUAGUCCUCAGGAACCAGACCCCGCAAGAGGUCAUUAUGUCGGUUGGUUUAUUAGCUAAAGGGAACUGUGUUUGUUUAACUCGGGAAUAAAAAACUCUCCAAUUAAGCA